CGGGUGAGUAACACGUGAGCAAUCUGCCUCAGAGUGGGGGAUAACGCAGGGAAACCUGUGCUAGUACCGCAUAACAUACCGGCAUCCAAAGGAGCGCUGUGAGAUGAGCUCGCGCCCGAUUAGAUAGUUGGUGAGGUAAUGGCUCACCAAGUCAGCGAUCGGUAGCCGGACUGAGAGGUUGGACGGCCACAUUGGGACUGAGAAAUUGCCCAGACUCCUACGGGAGGCAGCAGUGGGGGAUAUUGCACAAUGGGGGAAACCCUGAUGCAGCAACGCCGCGUGAAGGACGAAGGCCUUCGGGUUGUAAACUUCUUUGACGAGGAACGAUUGACGGUACCUCGAAAACAAGCCACGGCUAACUACGUGCCAGCAGCCGCGGUAAUACGUAGGUGGCGAGCGUUGUCCGGAAUUACUGGGUGUAAAGGGCGUGUAGGCGGGUCUGUAAGUCAGAUGUGAAAUGCCGCAGCUUAACUGCGGAG
rnacentral:rRNA from 1 species